rnacentral:rRNA from 1 species
UACGAAGGGGGCUAGCGUUGCUCGGAAUCACUGGGCGUAAAGCGCACGUAGGCGGCUUUGUAAGUUAGAGGUGAAAGCCCGGGGCUCAACCCCGGAAUUGCCUUUAAGACUGCAUCGCUUGAAUCCGGGAGAGGUGAGUGGAAUUCCGAGUGUAGAGGUGAAAUUCGUAGAUAUUCGGAAGAACACCAGUGGCGAAGGCGGCUCACUGGACCGGCAUUGACGCUGAGGCGCGAAAGCGUGGGGAGCAAACAGG